UGGGGAAUAUUGCACAAUGGGCGCAAGCCUGAUGCAGCCAUGCCGCGUGUGUGAAGAAGGCCUUCGGGUUGUAAAGCACUUUCAGCGGGGUGGAAGGCGAUAAGGUUAAUAACCUUGUCGAUUGACGUUACCGACAGAAGAAGCACCGGCUAACUCCGUGCCAGCAGCCGCGGUAAUACGGAGGGUGCAAGCGUUAAUCGGAAUUACUGGGCGUAAAGCGCACGCAGGCGGUUGAUUGAGUCAGAUGUGAAAUCCCCGGGCUUAACCCGGGAAUUGCAUCUGAUACUGGUCAGCUAGAGUCUUGUAGAGGGGGGUAGAAUUCCAUGUGUAGCGGUGAAAUGCGUAGCGAUGUGGAGGAAUACCGGUGGCGAAGGCGGCCCCCUGGACAAAGACUGCCGCUCAGGUGCGAAAGCGUGGGGAGCAAACAGG
rnacentral:rRNA from 1 species